rnacentral:lncRNA from 1 species
CCAACGUGUCGCACUAAAGAAAAUAUAUCUAUGACUUUGUGGCGUAUUUCUAAUCAUUUCUGUUCUGGGAUUUUGAUCUGAAAAGUCACCGUGAAGGAAAACUCGUAUUAUUUUCUAAAACGUUGAAGUGUUCUUAAGGAAAAUAUACUCAAGGAGUCAUCUGGAGAAUGCAGUUCACAAGAGAACCCAUAUUAAUAUGCAUAUUCAUGCUAUUUUUGGGAGUUUCUGAGACUUCGAAAUUUAAAGCAUCUAAAAAAGUGGAGGCGUGUAAGUUUUUGACGUACAACGCUGCGCUGUUAGAGGCUAGUAUAUCACUUUCCGACACCACCAUUUCAAACAACCGUGUAGAAAGACGAGAUGCUCAUACAGUAUUUGAACAAUCAGUCUGACGCAGAUGUUGUAUGUCUGCAAGAGGUCCAUUUCGGCCAAGAUGUUGAGGAAAUCAUAAAUGGAGUUAGUAUGAAAUUUCCAUACUCGUUCAGUUUACUUCACCAAAGUAACGGAAGCCUUCCUCCACAGUCAGCCACAAUAU